rnacentral:rRNA from 1 species
AACGCGAAGAACCUUACCAACCCUUGACAUGGGCGUCGCGGAUCCAGAGAUGGGCCUUUCAGUUCGGCUGGACGCCACACAGGUGCUGCAUGGCUGUCGUCAGCUCGUGUCGUGAGAUGUUCGGUUAAGUCCGGCAACGAGCGCAACCCACACUCUUAGUUGCCAGCAUUCAGUUGGGCACUCUAGGAGAACUGCCGGUGAUAAGCCGGAGGAAGGUGUGGAUGACGUCAAGUCCUCAUGGCCCUUACGGGUUGGGCUACACACGUGCUACAAUGGUGGUGACAAUGGGAUAAUCCCCAAAAGCCAUCUCAGUUCGGAUUGGGGUCUGCAACUCGACCCCAUGAAGUCGGAAUCGCUAGUAAUCGCGUAACAGCAUGACGCGGUGAAUACGUUCCCGGGUCUUGUACACACCG